rnacentral:snoRNA from 1 species
UAACAGUGAUGACAGAAGAGUUAUUUGCUAGCUGAGAGCUGCAUGCUGACAGCAGCUUACCACCAAGAUCUCUGAGUUA